rnacentral:rRNA from 1 species
AUGACNGUACCUGAAGAAUAAGCACCGGCUAACUACGUGCCAGCAGCCGCGGUAAUACNUAGGGUGCGAGCGUUAAUCGGAAUUACUGGGCGUAAAGCGUGCGCAGGCGGUUAUACAAGACAGGCNUGAAAUCCCCGGGCUUAACCUGGGAAUGGNGUCUGUGACUGNAUAGCUAGAGUGUGUCAGAGGGGGGUGGAAUUCCACGUGUAGCAGUGAAAUGCGUANAUAUGUGGAGGAACACCAAUGGCGAAGGCAGCCCCCUGGGAUAACACUGACGCUCAUGCACGAAAGCGUGGGGAGCAAACAGGAUUAGAUACCCUGGUAGUCCACGCCCUAAACGAUGCUGACUAGUUGUUGGGAAUUUACAUUCUCAGUAACGUAGCUAACGCGUGAAGUCAGCCGCCUGGGGAGUACGGUCGCAAGAUUAAAACUCAAA